UUCCCUGUAGCUCAGUUGGUUGAGUAUAGCUCUAGUAACACUAAGCUUGGGGGUUCUAUACCCAGGGAAA